rnacentral:misc_RNA from 1 species
CUUUCGCAGCCCGAGCUGAAUGGAGCUCAUUUUUUUGUGAGGGAAAAGCAUUGGCAAAAAAUAGCGGGAAUGGAGCGCGGAAAAGCUG